GAAGCUGCGCUCUUGCAGAACAGUGGCUCUCCAGGAGUGGAGUUUGAAACAUGUGCCUUAGAUGCCCAAUCGGAUUGAGAUCUGGGGAAUUUGGAGGCCGAGGCAAACCUAGAACCCCUUUUGUCAUGUUCCUCAAACCAUUCCAGAACCAUUUUUGCAGUGUGAUAAGGAGCAUUAUCCUGCUGAAAGAGGCCACUGUCAUCAGGGAACACUAUUGCCAUGAAGGGGUAUACGUGGUGUGCAACAAUCUUUAGGGAUCUACAUUUCCUGCUCCAUACACCAGGGGAUGCAUGUUUGCGGGUUGGCCUUUGGAUACAGGCGUUUUCCAGAGGACAAUCCUGCCAAAAAAUUCCAGUGUGAGAGUCUCCGGAUCUGUGCUGUCCUUCAGAACACGUCCGGUUUUCUCACAGUCUUGAGGAGUUGCAUGAGAACGAAGUAUUUUGACAACAACAGGGAAUCUGGGU